UUAGGAAUCUUCCACAAUGGGCGAAAGCCUGAUGGAGAGACGCCGCGUGAGGGAUGAAGGCCUUAGGGUUGUAAACCUCUAAAAGAGGGACGAUAAUGACGGUACCUCUUGAAUAGCACCGGCUAACUCCGUGCCAGCAGCCGCGGUAAUACGGAGGGUGCAAGCGUUAUCCGGAUUUACUGGGUUUAAAGGGUGCGUAGGCGGGCAUGUAAGUCAGUGGUGAAAUACCGGAGCUUAACUUCGGAAAUGCCAUUGAUACUAUAUGUCUUGAAUAUUGUGGAGGUAAGCGGAAUAUGUCAUGUAGCGGAGAAAUGCAUAGAUAUGACAUAGAACACCGAUUGCGGAGGCAGCUUGCUACGCAAAUAUUGACGCUGAGGCACGAAAGCGUGGGGAUCAAACA
rnacentral:rRNA from 1 species